AUACAGACGACCCCCUACGGUGGGCGGGCCGUGGUGCUCGGGAAGUCGGUGCGAUGCCGACGCGGCCCUCGCCACUGUGAAUCGGGGAGUUGCCGGUCCACGUCCCGCAGGGGACAGCCACUGGCCGUCGUACGACGGCCGGGAAGGCGGAUCCGGGAACGCACGACCCGUAAGCCAGGAGACCGGCCACGGCAGCUCACGAAAG
rnacentral:ncRNA from 2 species